CCUGGGGGUGCCUGGGAGUCCCUGGUCCAGCUGUGAGCUCAGAAAGAGAAAGGGCUGCCUGGAGGAGGAACCCCAUACCCUCCUGGGUGAGCCAUGGCUGUGCCCCCAGUGAGCAGAGAUAGCAGUGUGGCCCCCUGGCUCCCUCAUCUGACUGUCACUGUGGGCUCUGACCUGCCUGCCUGCCUGACCUCCAGGACUUGGCCCGGCUCUUCAUCUGGGUCCUACGGGAGUACAGUGAGGUGGAGCCCAUCAUCCUCUCAGGUUGGCACCACGGCCCCCACACCCAUUCCUACAGUGGGACAAGACCCAGUUUGUCUUUGAGGGCUGGCAGAGGAGUGGGGGCAGAAUACCCACGGGAGGCUGGUAGGAAGCCUAAUAGGCCACUGCCCAUUGCUCCCACAGUGGGCGAGGAAGAGGAGGUCUCCAUCAAGGAGGCAGCUGAGGCUGUGAUGGAGGCCAUGGGCUUCCACGGGGAAGUCACCGUAUCCUUUGGGGCACUCUAGAGGAACUGAAGCCCAGGUGGGACACUCGGCCUAACACCAUUUUGUUGCCUGGUGGUACUUGCCCUGGCAGCUGGAGGGGGGUCUGUCUUGGCCAGGCUCCCUCCCCAGGAAAGGCAGGUUUAAGGUAGCGAGGAGGGGGGGUGUACCUUCUGCUGUGGCCUUGACCAAGGUGCCUAGUAUGAUACAACCAAGUCAGACGGGCAGUUUAAGAAGACAGCCAGCAACACCAAGCUUCGGGGCUACCUACCUGACUUCCGGUUCACACCUUUCAAGCAGGGUGAGCCCCUCCCCCUCCAGUGUCCUCCCCUUGGCAACCUCCUAUCCCCCGGCCCCUCCUUGGCUUUGGACCCUCCUCCACUGCUCCUCCCUUUUGCUCCUUGCUGUGGCUUCUGCUUUCCUACUGUGAUGUGGAGGUGGGGUGCUCUGCAGAUUUGGUCACCAGGCCUGGUCACCUGGGAAUCAGGGCGUUGCAGCUUGGAGGAAGUGACUUCCCUGUGUCCCUGGGACCUGUACCCUCCCUGGGUCCUGUAGGUCACUGUGGUCUUGGCCCUCACCUGCUCACCAGCCCUCACUUGUCCACCUGCAGCUGUAAAGGAGACCUGUGCCUGGUUCACUGACAACUAUGAGCAGGCUCGGAAGUAAAGCUGUGCAGACGUGCAGGCACUCAGCUGGCAAAGCCCAGUGCCCACCACCUUCAGACCUUGCCAGGAACCAAGGACGCUGCUCAGCAACCCGGGGCCACGUCCCCUUGCCUCUGCCAGGGGUUCCAGGCGGUUGUCCAGUUGGGAGCCAUUUGUCAAGAGGCUCAUUCUUGUGUGAGUCAAGGCCUGUCCCUGCCUGGGACCUCACCCCCCACCGCCCUGGCCUCAGUGCACUCUGGGCCUCAGUGCACUCAGUGCUUUGUCUGGGGGCCGGUAAAGUACGUUUCCAUUGCCCUGU
rnacentral:lncRNA from 1 species